rnacentral:rRNA from 1 species
UACGGAGGGGGGCUAGCGUUGUUCGGAAUUACCGGGGCGUAAAGCGCACGUAGGCGGAUCAGUCAGUCAGAGGUGAAAUCCCCGGAGCUCAACUUCGGAACUGCCUUUUGAUACUGCUGAUCUAGAGUCCGGGAGAGGUGCAUGGAAUUCCGAGUGUAGAGGUGAAAUUCGUAGAUAUUCGGAGGAACACCAGAGGCGAAGGCGAUGCACUGGACCGGUACUGACGCUGAGGUGCGAAAGCGUGGGGAGCAAACAGG